UCCUUGUCUUUAGGGACCAGGGCUGCAGAGGGGUGUUACUAAAGAAUCAUAUUAAAAAGCGGGUGUAUCCCACCGUCAUCAGCACAGUGAUCUUGGAUUAAGUUCAAUCCAAGCUGUCGCUUAGAUUCUGGUUAAACUGUAAGUUUUCCUCGCCGCCGCUGAGAGGGAACUGAAGGAGGACUUAUUAUAAGUGAGGGUGUGUUACUGGCCCGGGUCAUAACCACCUCGUAGGAGCCUCUGCCUACUCAUCGUCCCUCUCCGUGCCCAUACGCCUCAACAGCCAGUUCCCUUCUGAGACUCCUUCUUUCUUCACAUUCCCUCUUUGAGGAUUCGUCUCCGUUUGUCACCAGGAGAGGCGUCGCAGGCGGGAAGAAGAGGAGGGAGACGAGGGAGACGGGGGAGGAGGAAAAGG